GCGCCGUAUGCGCUGGCGCGUUUCACGCGCGGCGCGCUGCUGACGGGCAGCUAUGGGCGCGGCGCGGUGUCGUGACGGCGCG
rnacentral:tRNA from 1 species